AUUGAACGCUGGCGGCAGGCCUAACACAUGCAAGUCGAACGGUAACAGGAAGAAGCUUGCUUCUUUGCUGACGAGUGGCGGACGGGUGAGUAAUGUCUGGGAAACUGCCUGAUGGAGGGGGAUAACUACUGGAAACGGUAGCUAAUACCGCAUAACGUCGCAAGACCACAGAGGGGGACCUUCGGGCCUCUUGCCAUCGGAUGUGCCCAGAUGGGAUUAGCUAGUAGGUGGGGUAACGGCUCACCUAGGCGACGAUCCCUAGCUGGUCUGAGAGGAUGACCAGCCACACUGGAACUGAGACACGGUCCAGACUCCUACGGGAGGCAGCAGUGGGGAAUAUUGCACAAUGGGCGCAAGCCUGAUGCAGCCAUGCCGCGUGUAUGAAGAAGGCCUUCGGGUUGUAAAGUACUUUCAGCGGGGAGGAAGGGAGUAAAGUUAAUACCUGUGCUCAUUGACGUUACCCGCAGAAGAAGCACCGGCUAACUCCGUG
rnacentral:rRNA from 1 species